rnacentral:misc_RNA from 1 species
GAUGAAGAACGUAGCGAAAUGCGAUAAGUAAUGUGAAUUGCAGAAUUCAGUGAAUCAUCGAAUCUUUGAACGCACCUUGCGCUCCUUGGUAUUCCGAGGAGCAUGCCUGUUUGAGUGUCAGUAUAUUCUCAAUCUCCACUAGCUUUUGCAGUUGGGACUUGGAUAGUGGAGGUAUUUGCAGGCCCUUUUUUGAAAGGUGCCAGCUCCUCUGAAAUGUAUUAGCGGAACUGUUUGCAAUCCGUCACAGGUGUGAUAGUUAUCUACACCCAGUGGGUUGCUUUCUGAUUGUUCAGCUUCCAACUGUCCAUAUUGUAGGACAACUACUGAACCUUUGACCUCAAAUCAGGUAGGACUACCCGCUGAACUUAAGCAUAUCAAUAAGCGGAGGA